rnacentral:lncRNA from 1 species
CCUUGGCAUUGAAACAUGACAAUAUGAAGUAUUCUUGCAAGUCUCAGUCUCCCUCCCUCCCUCCCUCCCUCCCUCCCUCCUUCCUUCCUUCCUUCCUUCCUUCCUUCCUUUCUUUUCUCUCUUUCUUUCUCUCUCUCUCUCUCUCUCUCUCUUUCUUUCUUUCAAUUAUCUAAAUAAUAGGCAUUCUUUGUUUCCACUUGAUUCUUCCUGUAGACCAAGCCCCUUUAUUUUUUACUUAUUUAU